rnacentral:rRNA from 1 species
AUUGAACGCUGGCGGCAUGCCUUACACAUGCAAGUCGAACGGCAGCAUGAUCUCGCUUGCUAGAUUGAUGGCGAGUGGCGCACGGGUGAGUAAUACAUCGGAACGUGCUCUGUAGUGGGGGAUAACUAGUCGAAAGAUUAGCUAAUACCGCAUACGACCUGAGGGUGAAAGUGGGGGACCGCAAGGCCUCAUGCUAUAGGAGCGGCCGAUGUCUGAUUAGCUAGUUGGUGAGGUAAAGGCUCACCAAGGCGACGAUCAGUAGCUGGUCUGAGAGGACGAUCAGCCACCCUGGGAAUGAGAAACGGCCCCGACUCCUAAGGGAGGCAGCAGUGGGGAAUUUUGGGCAAUGGGCGAAAGCCUGAUCCAGCAAUGCCGGGUGUGUGAAGAAGGCCUUCGGGUUGUAAAGCCAUUUUGUCCGGAAAGAAAAGGCUCUUGUUUAAACCUGGGGUCGAUGACGGUACCGGAAGAAAAAGGGACGGCUAACUACGUG